ACGUGACUAAUACAUCCGGGUGUCUGUUGGUAAGGCCACAGAAUAAAGGCCGGAAAACACGACUCCUAGGGUAAUUUAGAGAUCUAAACUGACCAUGUCAGACUCCAAAGAUGACAAGGGUGAUGAGGAGAAGACCUAUGGGGGCUGUGAGGGGCCUGAUGCCAUGUACGUAAAACUGGUGUCCUCAGAUGGCCAUGAAUUCAUUGUCAAGAGAGACCACGCUUUAACAUCUGGAACGAUUAAGGCCAUGUUGAGUGGUCCAGGACAGUUUGCAGAAAAUGAGACAAAUGAAAUAAAUUUUAGGGAAAUACCGUAAGUACUGAUGUUAUUUAUAUUCUACUUUGAUGAGUAAAGAUUAGUAAAGAUAGGUCAACGCUUCAAUUGCAAUGGUAUACAGAACAGCUCACAAGUAUGUGACAAAAACAUCAUGAACCCCAAAAAAAAAACCAAACUCUUGUUCUAGAUCUCAAAUUUUCUGCAUUGUAAAGUUGAUAUCAUAAAUGUAGGAUGCAUGUCUGUUAUGAGUAAUGAUAAACAGUAAAUGUAUUUAUUUGCACAAUGUGUAUUUUAGGUCACAUGUUCUUCAGAAGGUGUGUAUGUAUUUCACAUACAAGGUUCGAUACACCAACAGCUCCACAGAGAUCCCCGAGUUCCCUAUAGCACCUGAAAUUGCAUUAGAGUUACUUAUGGCUGCCAACUUCUUAGAUUGCUGAACAAGAGUUAAUAUUUAUUAUAUUUGCUUUGUUUGAUCCCAUUCUUUUGUUGGUGCCAAAAUAAGUUUCUAUUUGCAUGAAGUCAUCAUAAUAUUUAGAUCCCCCAUAUAAAGAUCAAUGAGGAGAGAAAAAAAAACAUGGCACUAAGUAUGUAUUUAUAAUUAUGUAUGGGUAUUGCAGGAAAACAAAUGUGAGGUGAUGUCUACUUUAUUAGAUUAUAUUGUGUAUUCAAGGAUUAAGAACUGCUAAAAUAACUUGUAAAAGCCAGUUUCAGUUUAUAUUAUAUGAAAAUUUGAUUGUAUUAUGCUUUAUAUUUCUUUAUUGUUUAUUAAAGUAUUAUCAAAAUUAGUUCAGUUGCUGUAUAAAGCCAUUGUAAGGAGGGUUGCCCUGCAUUAUGCACUGUGAUGUUUGUGUUAGGAUUGUUUGAGCUUUGAUGUACUUGGACAGAGGCAAAUGAAAGUAGGGUCCAUGUUGUUGUAUAUCAUUCAGUGUUAUGAUUCAUUUAGAUUUUCGUCAUUAAAUCCUUUCUAUGUAAGG
rnacentral:misc_RNA from 1 species